GACGAACGCUGGCGGCGUGCCUAAUACAUGCCAGUAGAACGCUGAAGGAGGAGCUUGCUUCUCCGGAUGAGUUGCGAACGGGUGAGUAACGCGUAGGUAACCUGCCUGGUAGCGGGGGAUAACUAUUGGAAACGAUAGCUAAUACCGCAUAAGAGUAGAUGUUGCAUGACAUUUGCUUAAAAGGUGCAAUUGCAUCACUACCAGAUGGACCUGCGUUGUAUUAGCUAGUUGGUGGGGUAACGGCUUACCAAGGCGACGAUACAUAGCCGACCUGAGAGGGUGAUCGGCCACACUGGGACUGAGACACGGCCCAGACUCCUACGGGAGGCAGCAGUAGGGAAUCUUCGGCAAUGGACGGAAGUCUGACCGAGCAACGCCGCGUGAGUGAAGAAGGUUUUCGGAUCGUAAAGCUCUGUUGUAAGAGAAGAACGAGUGUGAGAGUGGAAAGUUCACACUGUGACGGUAUCUUACCAGAAAGGGACGGCUAACUACGUG
rnacentral:rRNA from 1 species